GACGAACGCUGGCGGCGUGCUUAACACAUGCAAGUCGAACGAUGAUGCCCAGCUUGCUGGGUGGAUUAGUGGCGAACGGGUGAGUAACACGUGAGUAACCUGCCCAUGACUCUGGGAUAAGCGUUGGAAACGACGUCUAAUACUGGAUAUGACUGCCGGCCGCAUGGUCUGGUGGUGGAAAGAUUUUUUGGUUGGGGAUGGACUCGCGGCCUAUCAGCUUGGUGGUGGGGUAAUGGCUCACCAAGGCGACGACGGGUAGCCGGCAUGAGAGGGUGACCGGCCACACUGGGACUGAGACACGGCCCAGACUCCUACGGGAGGCAGCAGUGGGGAAUAUUGCACAAUGGGCGAAAGCCUGAUGUAGCAACGCCGCGUGAGGGAUGACGGCCUUCGGGUUGUAAACCUCUUUUAGUAGGGAAGAAGCGAAAGUGACGGUACCUGCAGAAAAAGCACCGGCUAACUACGUGCCAGCAGCCGCCGUAA
rnacentral:rRNA from 1 species